rnacentral:rRNA from 1 species
AUACGUAGGGUGCGAGCGUUAAUCGGAAUUACUGGGCGUAAAGCGUGCGCAGGUGGUUUUGUAAGUCAGAUGUGAAAUCCCCGGGCUUAACCUGGGAACUGCGUUUGAAACUGCAAGGCUAGAGUGUGGCAGAGGGGGGUGGAAUUCCGCGUGUAGCAGUGAAAUGCGUAGAUAUGUGGAGGAACACCGAUGGCGAAGGCAGCCCCCUGGGUCAGCACUGACGCUCCGGCACGAAAGCAUGGGGAGCAAACAGGAUUAGAAACCCCAGUAGUCC